CAGUAGCCGCGGGAAUACAGAGGGUGCGAGCGUUAAUCGGAUUUACUGGGCGUAAAGCGUGCGUAGGCGGCUUCUUAAGUCGGAUGUGAAAUCCCUGAGCUUAACUUAGGAAUUGCAUUCGAUACUGGGAAGCUAGAGUAUGGGAGAGGAUGGUAGAAUUCCAGGUGUAGCGGUGAAAUGCGUAGAGAUCUGGAGGAAUACCGAUGGCGAAGGCAGCCAUCUGGCCUAAUACUGACGCUGAGGUACGAAAGCAUGGGGAGCAAACAGGAUUAGAUACCCCGGUAGUCCCUGUCUCUUAUCC
rnacentral:rRNA from 1 species